CCUACGGGUGGCAGCAGUGAGGAAUAUUGGUCAAUGGACGAGAGCCUGAACCAGCCAAGUAGCGUGAAGGAUGACUGCCCUAUGGGUUGUAAACUUCUUUUAUAUGGGAAUAAAAUGUUCCACGUGUGGGAUUUUGUAUGUACCAUAUGAAUAAGGAUCGGCUAACUCCGUGCCAGCAGCCGCGGUAAUACGGAGGAUCCGAGCGUUAUCCGGAUUUAUUGGGUUUAAAGGGAGCGUAGGUGGUUUGUUAAGUCAGUUGUGAAAGUUUGCGGCUCAACCGUAAAAUUGCAGUUGAAACUGGCAGUCUUGAGUACAGUAGAGGUGGGCGGAAUUCGUGGUGUAGCGGUGAAAUGCUUAGAUAUCACGAAGAACUCCGAUUGCGAAGGCAGCUCACUGGACUGCAACUGACACUGAGGCUCGAAAGUGUGGGUAUCAAACAGGAUUAGAUACCCCAGUAGUC
rnacentral:rRNA from 1 species